rnacentral:rRNA from 1 species
GACGAACGCUGGCGGCGUGCUUAACACAUGCAAGUCGAGCGAGGCCCUUCCUUCGGGAAGGUGUCCUAGCGGCGAACGGGUGAGUAACACGUGGGCAACCUGCCCUCAGCUCUGGGAUAACUCCGGGAAACCGGGCUAAUACCGGAUACGACCUCAUGAGGCAUCUUUUGAGGUGGAAAGUUUUUCGGUCUGAGGAUGGGCCCGGCGGCCUAUCAGCUUGUUGGUGGGGUGAUGGCCCACCAAGGCGACGACGGGUAGCCGGCCUGAGAGGGUGACCGGCCACACUGGGACUGAGACACGGCCCAGACUCCUACGGGAGGGCAGCAGUGGGGAAUAUUGCGCAAAUGGGCGAAAGCCUGACGCAGCGACGCCGCGUGAGGGACGAA